rnacentral:pre_miRNA from 1 species
UCACUUUCUUCAGCAAACAUUAGGAGAGGACCUUCUCUGUUUCGGCCACGUGUGUACUCACAGCCCCUCACACACGGCCAAAACAGAGAAAGUACUCUUCUAAGAUUUGCUUCACUGGAGUGUGA